CCUACGGGAGGCAGCAGUGAGGAAUAUUGGUCAAUGGGGGAAACCCUGAAGCAGCGACGCCGCGUGAAGGAAGAAGUAUCUCUGUAUUGUAACCUGCAUCAGUAGGGAAGUAAAUGACGAUACCUGACUAAGACUGACCGGCUAAAUACGUUCAAGCAGACGCGGUAAUACGCAGGGAGCCAGCGUUAUCCGGAUUUACUGGGUGUAAAGGGGGCGUAGGCGGUUUAGUAAGUCAGAAGUGAAAGCCCGAGGCUCAACUCCGGGACUGCUUUUGAAACUGUUGGACUAGAUUGCAUGUGGGGUAGGUGGAAUUCAUGGUGUAGCGGUGAAAUGCGUAGAUAUUAGGAAGAACACCAGUGGCGAAGGCAGCUUACUAGACUAUAAAUGACGCUGAGGCUCGAAAGCGUGGGGAGCAAACAGGAGUAGAUACCCGGGUAGUC
rnacentral:rRNA from 1 species